AAUAGAUACCCUGGUAGUCCAUGCUGUAAACGAUGAGAACUAGAUGUUAGGGGGCAUGACCUCUUAGUAUCGAAGCUAACGCGAUAAGUUCUCCGCCUGGGGAGUACGGCCGCAAGGUUAAAACUCAAAGAAAUUGACGGGGGCCCACACAAGCGGUGGAGCAUGUGGUUUAAUUCGAUGCAACGCGAAGAACCUUACCUACCUUUGAAUCCACGGAACCUAGCAGAGAUGUUGGGGUGCCUUCGGGAACCGUGAGACAGGUGCUGCAUGGCUGUCGUCAGCUCGUGUCGUGAGAUGUUGGGUUAAGUCCCGUAACGAGCGCAACCCUUGUCCUUAGUUGCCAUCAGGUUAUGCUGGGCACUUUAAGGAGACUGCCGGUGAUAAACCGGAGGAAGGUGGGGAUGACGUCAAGUCCUCAUGGCCCUUACAGGUAGGGCUACACACGUGCUACAAUGGGCAGUACAGAGGGAAGCCAACCCGCGAGGGGGAGCGAAUCUCAUAAAGCUGUUCGUAGUCCGGAUUGGAGU
rnacentral:rRNA from 1 species